rnacentral:rRNA from 1 species
UACGGGGGGGGCAAGCGUUGUUCGGAAUUACUGGGCGUAAAGGCUCGUAGGCGGCCAACUAAGUCAGACGUGAAAUCCCUCGGCUUAACCGGGGAACUGCGUCUGAUACUGGAUGGCUAGAGGUUGGGAGAGGGAUGCGGAAUUCCAGGUGUAGCGGUGAAAUGCGUAGAUAUCUGGAGGAACACCGGUGCGAAGGCGGCAUCCUGGACCAAUUCUGACGCUGAUGAGCGAAAAGCCAGGGG